UACUCUGUUCCUAGGCCCUACUGUUAAAAACUACACAGUUCCCUGCUUGCUUCUCAAUUUACAAUGCAGAGAGCCCGUUUUCCAAAUCCAUUUUGUAGCACAUCUUCAGAUAAAGCUAAAACUGAAGCAGUCUCCCAUGUAAAAUGCAUCACUGAUUCCAAAAAACAAAUUUGACCUCCACAUCAACUAUGCCACUGUAUACUUGGCCUCCUACUCCAAGCUAAACACUUCCUAACACUGGUGGUAUUACAGCAGUCAUCUCCUACUUACCUCCUGGCUCCAUCUAUGCACCCCCUAUUCUAACCAACCUCUACUCUGUUCAGCUAUAAAAAGUAAAACUAUCACAAUAAGGUUGUAAGAUUUGUUACACACGCGCACACACACACCAUAUAAGACUCAUUACUGUAGCACCUUAUUCCACCUACAGUGGCUAAAUCUCCCCAACAGCCUUCACUAUACAUGACUGCAAACAACAUAACAAGAUACCAUAGCCAUCCAUAAUCCUUUUUUCCAUUUUUGCACAUGCAACCCUGGUGUCCCUUCAGUUGCCAUAUUUCCAUCACAAAUGCCCACCCUUAGCAAACCUCCUCCACUUGUAUCCCACAUUUACACAACUAACAUCUCAAGAUUAACUCCUAAGUCAAACACUAAGGUCCAACAGCUCUCAUGAUGGUGCUGUUUAACUCCAUCGACAUCUCCAGACUCUGGAAUAGAUUAUGUUGUAUAGUAAAAGAACAUAAAACAUUAAACUUCUUUAAGCUAGCCCUCACGUCCUGUCUCCUUAAUGUGUGUCUGUUAUGCUCACCUCAUAGAUUGCUUGCUUGGCACAUUGAUUUCUAUCAGCCAAUCAUCUGAACCAACCACUCACUAUCUAACAUCUAGACUACUAAAAGUCUCUCCACAUUCAUAUUUGUAACCCAAUAAAUAUAGCCAUUUCUAACAGUAAAGUGCAGUCAGCAUACACACUAAUAGGAAAUUGCAAAAUGAAGUAAAUAAAUAAAAGCGUGUAAAUAA